UAGGAGGGAAGGGAUACAAGUGGGUGGCGUGGAGCUGAGACCCACGCAUGACCCCAUAUCUCUGUCUCCAGGCUGUCCCUCCUGCUAGGAUCACACAGGAGCAUCUGCUCUGGAUGGGCCUGCAGCGGUCCUGGCUGUGCUGCUGACUGGUGCACCAGGAGCGGCACUGAGGGGAGCUGGGAGAGGCCCUGGCCCUCACCCCCAUCCCACAUCCACAUCUGCCCCCUCACUGAUUGCUCGCGGUCCUGGUCCUCAGUUCCUGGGACUAAGAACCACAGCAGCCUGGUUGCCCCUGGGACACAGGGGCUGAGCCUCACACCAUGUGCCCUUCUCAGCCACCCAGGGCCCGGCUGAAGAGCUCUGCCUGCCUCACCCCGAGGCCUGAGGCUGCACCCAGGCUACUACAUGCCCCCCGCAGAUUCCCACAGACGGAAGGGUGCUGAUGGCUUCCUCCCUUGUGCCAAGUUGCCUGGAAACCCCUGGUCCUGGUGGCCCCUCCUCCACCCCAACUGUGUCCCUCCAGGACCAUUUCCGGGAGACUGCCAGCCUUUGGACUGCAUCCCUGGAGUUCUGAGAGACUGUGACAUGGGCUGCAGGGGAGGAGAGGAGCGGAGGACCAGGGGCCUCCUUGGGGCUGAUGCGUAAAUGUGCCCUUUUCAAGUUCGGGUCUCACGCUCUGGGUGACUGGAUCCCCAGCCGCAGCCUCUUCCUGGGCCAGCCUGAGAGGACCUGGGGAGGGCACUAGGGAGGGUCUUUACUUAAUAUGUGCGUGCCUGUGUGUGAAUGCGUGUGUGUGAGUGUUUAUGCACACAUGAGUGGCUGUGCGAUGCAGACGGUGCUGAGCUGUUUAGUGGGUGUGCUCUGGGGGACGGGCAUCCUGUCCUCCCCAGGCUCCCAGCUCUGUUGGAGCUGCCUGGGCCCUGGGAGGCCGCUUCCUAAAGUGGAGAAAGUAUGUUGGAGAUUCAGGGGCCCCGGGCUUAGAGACCCAUCAUCACCUGCAGAGAAUCCCCCCUCCCCAUGGGGCUCUGGCUGGGGCUGUCCGCCCCCAAAGGUAUUGGCUGUGGGAGGGGCGGGGACACGUCCUCAGCACGUGCUCCUGCCACUAUUUUUCUUACCAUUUUGA
rnacentral:lncRNA from 1 species